ACUGCCCUCUCGGUGGAGUUGGGGAGCAUGUCCCCUGCAACCUGGACCUGAGCUCCUGUGGACUAAAGAGCCUCCUUUUCCAAUGAGGGAGCCACACUGGCUGGCCGGGACAACGAGCCUCAGGGUUACAGGUGGUUUACUGGUGGCUGGACUGUUGCUCAUAGAGUUGAUUAUAUCCUGAGGGGAGGGAAAAAAUGGUUAUAUCUGACAAAUUCAGCAUUAAUUACUGGAUUUGCAUUGGUGGCUUUCGUAGAAAUACUACCUCCAAGUAGCUCUUCAGAUUGUACACACUUGCCAUUACUAGUGUAGCUCUGUUAUGUUCUUCAUAUAUUAAUAUUUGUCAUUAUGCUUACAUCUUUGUUGACAUUAUGCACACCGGUGGUGGAAUGUAACAUCAAUUAAGUAAAAUUUUGAGGUACUUUUA